rnacentral:misc_RNA from 1 species
UUUUAAGUAUAACUAUCGAUACCAGAAUUGUCAACUCAAUAUGAAAUAUUAUUUGUUACUAGAUAAAAACAAAUUGGAUAUGGUAUGUUUAUAAUUUCAGAAUUUUUCAUUGCUGCGUACCUUAAUUCAUGUCAUGUCAUAUGUCUGUCCCCACAUCGUAGUGUCAAUAUAAUACAAGACAAAUUAGAUAGAACAUGAUAGAGAGUAGGAAAU